UGUAACCAGGCUUUUUUGUGGCAUUGCCGCAGUAAAGUCUUCUUUCUGGCAACUUGACCAUGCAGCUCAUUUUUGUUCAAGUAUCGUUGUAUUGCGCUGCUUGAAACAACCACACCGUCUUUUUCCAGAGCAGCCUGUAUUUCUCCUGAGGUUACCUGUGGGUUUUUCUUUGUAUCCCGAAAAAUUGAAAUCUUUCUUGGUCUACCUGACCUUGGCUUGGUAUCAAGAGAUCCCCGAAUUUUCCACUUCUUAAUGAGUGAUUGAACAGUACUGACUGGCAUUUUCAAGGCUUUGGAUAUAUUUUUAUAUCCUUUUCCAUCUUUAUAAAGUUCCAUUACCUUGUUAUGCAGGUCUUUAGACAGUUUUUUCUGCUCCCCAUGGCUCAGUAUCUAGCCUGCUCAGUGCAUCCACGUGAGAGCUAUCAAACUCAUUGAUUAUUUAUACACAGACACUAAUUGCAAUUUAAAAAGCCACAGGUGUGGGAAAUUAACCUUUAAUUGCCAUUUAAACCUGUGUGUGUCACCUUUUGUGUCUGUAACAAUCAAGGGUAUGUAAACUUUUGAUCAGGGCCAUUUGGGUGAUUUCUGUUAUCAUUAUGAUUUAAAAAGGAGCCAAACAACUAUGUGAUAAUAAAUGGCUUCAUAUGAUCACUAUCCUUAAAUAAAAGUUUUUUUGCAUGAUCAGUCAUAUUUUCAAAAUCAAUGCCAAAAUUUCACAAUUUCUGCCAGGGUAUGCAAACUUUUGAGCACAACUGUAAAUGAAUUAAAACUGACUGAAUACUGUUCACAACAUUCUACACUGUCAUUUAAGGGUUAAACUUCUGGCACACCACGUCAUGUGACAAAACAGCGUGAAGUUGAUUUCCAGGAAGAACUGCUACGGGCGCAGCACCAACAAAAGUGCCUCUGAACUCAAACGAAGAUACUUCAAAGGAAUAGUUCUCCCAAAAAGGGAAAUGCUCUCAUCAUUUACUCACCCUCAUGCCAUCCCAGAUGUGUAUGAUGUGGCAGAAUGAUCCGUCCCUCUGGCUCGUCAUCGUCACCCCGCCUCUUAGGGACGCCCUUCAGCCAGGCUCACGACGGGAGUUGGGCGGGAGAGCGAGAAGAGGUGCAUAAUUAAUAAGCCUUGUUUGGUCAGCGGUGAAUGAAGCACACCUGAUGUGAAUAAUGCUUCAUCACCGCUGUCUUUAAAAUGCAGUGCUCACCUCUUCUCGGGGAGCCGGCUUCAAAGCUCCAUGUGUGCACACUGGCAUCCUCGCACGCCCAGGACAAGAGCUGGGAGGGAUCGGACAAGUGGACGCACUGCCAGACCCGUUCUUCGGACCCCCCGGACGCCGUAAUGAGUCGCCGGGGGUGAACUGCUCAUGUUGCCGCCGAUGGGCUAGAUACCGGGCCACCUUCCCCUCAUGCUUGCCGCAGGCCUGGGAAGACAGGCUGCCAGUGAAGCCGCCGCCCCACGUGCCGUGAACCUUGGAGGGGAGCGUGAGCCGCCGACUGACCCAGCCCGUGCCUGGACUUUCCUAUGAACACUACCCCACCCCUUUCACGGAGCCCCAUUCACCGCGAGGAUGCCAGAUUCCCCCUUUUAUUAUGAACACUAUUCCCCCUUGGACACUUUAUUACCACUUUUGGACAUUUUACGUUUAUUGUUGUUUCCAAUAAAUGCCUCUCCGAGGCUUAACGCACACCCACUGUGUCUGUCUCUUGCUCACCCUGCCACAGUGGUGGAGAAUGCAGGCACUUUUGUGGGCAAAGACGGCACAGUUGGGCACCAACAUUGUUCGAUGGAAUGCCUGGAGUGGGACGGAGAGAACACGUGGACGGCCUCCCAGCUGCAGCAAAGGGUAAGUGGCACUUAAUAAGCAUUUACCCUGUAGCUAGCUGAGGCUGUCAUUAAUUCGUGUUUUUUCUCUGUUCCCACCUGGGUGCGGUUGAGAGGAGGAGUUGGUCCAGAGAAGUAUCCACCUUAUGUCCACUGUAAUGAGUCACCGGGGGUGAACUGCUCACGUUGCCGCCGACGGGCUAGAUGCCGGGCCGCCUUCCCCUCACGCUUGCCACAGGCCUGGGAAGACAGGUUGCCAGUGAUGCCGCAGCCUCACACGCCGUUGACCUUGGAGGGGAGCGUGAGCGGCUGCCUGACCCAGUCCCUGCCUGGGCUUUCCUAUGAACACUACCCCGCCCCUUUCACCAUGAGGAUGCCAGAUUCCCCCUUUUAUUAUGAACACUAUUCCCCCUUGGACACUUUAUUACCCCUUUUGGACAUUUUAUGUUUAUUAUUGUUUCCAAUAAAUGCCUCUCCAAGGCUUGACGCCACACCCACUGUGUCUGUCUCUUGCUCACCCUGCCACAAUGACUUUUUCUUCUUUAGAACACAAACAAAGAUUUUUAGAAGAAUAUUUUAGCCAUUGAACCGUAUAAUGCAAGUGAAUGGUGGCCAGAAAUUUAAGCUCCAGAAUGCACAGCAUGGAUGGCAUGAAAGUAAUCCAUAAGACUCCAGUGGUUAAAUCCAUAUCUUCUGAAGUGAUAUACAGUACUGUGCAAAAGUUGUAGGCACUUGUGAAAGAUGUUGUGAAAAAUGCAUAGUGAGGAUGUCUUCAAAAAUAAUGACAUAAAUAGUUUUCAGUUAUCAAUUAACGUCAUACAAAGUCCAGUAAACGUAAAAAAGCUAAAUCAAUAUUCGGUGUGACUACAUUUUGCCAUCUAUAUAUCAGUGUGUAUCUAUAUAGUGCGUAUUGUAUACUGUACAGUGUAUGUUAUUGUUUGUAUAUUGUUGAGUGUAAUUAUGUGUAUAUCAGAUGUUUAAACUGUGCUGUGUUAAUUUGAUGUUAUUGUAAAUUGGUACUGUCUCAUCACUGUCACGACUGCUAUGUUGAUCGGAACUGCACCCAAGAAUUUCACACACCAUUGCACUUGUGUAUAUGGCUGUGUGACAAUAAAGUGAUUUGAUUUGA